rnacentral:rRNA from 1 species
ACUCCUGCGGGAGGCAGCAGUGGGGAAUAUUGCACAAUGGGCGCAAGCCUGAUGCAGCCAUGCCGCGUGUAUGAAGAAGGCCUUCGGGUUGUAAAGUACUUUCAGCGGGGAGGAAGGCAAUACGGUUAAUAACCGUGUUGAUUGACGUUACCCGCAGAAGAAGCACCGGCUAACUCCGUGCCAGCAGCCGCGGUAAUACGGAGGGUGCAAGCGUUAAUCGGAAUUACUGGGCGUAAAGCGCACGCAGGCGGUCUGUCAAGUCGGAUGUGAAAUCCCCGGGCUCAACCUGGGAACUGCAUUCGAAACUGGCAGGCUUGAGUCUUGUAGAGGGGGGUAGAAUUCCAGGUGUAGCGGUGAAAUGCGUAGAGAUCUGGAGGAAUACCGGUGGCGAAGGCGGCCCCCUGGACAAAGACUGACGCUCAGGUGCGAAAGCGUGGGGAGCAAACAGGAUUAGAAACCCGAGUAGUCCCA